rnacentral:rRNA from 1 species
UAGGGAAUAUUAGAAAUGGACGAAAGUCUGAUCUAGCAACACCGCGUGUGCGAAGAAGGCCUUCGGGUCGUAAAGCACUUUUUGGAAGGAAUAGGAAGGAAUGUACUUCCAGAAUAAGUCUCGGCUAACUACGUGCCAGCAGCCGCGGUAACACGUAGGAGGCAAACGUUAUCCGGAUUUACUGGGCGUAAAGCGCGUGUAGGUGGUUCUGUAAGUAGGGCGUGAAAGCUCCCGGCUCAACUGGGAGAUGCCGUUCUAAACUGCAGAGCUAGAGGAUGGUAGAGGGAGGUGGAAUUCCAGGUGUAGCGGUGGAAUGCGCAGAUAUCUGGAGGAACACCAGUGGCGAAGGCGGCCUCCUGGACCAUUCCUGACACUCAGACGCGAAAGCUAGGGUAGCAAA